ensembl:lncRNA
CUUCUCAGCAGUCCUGUUUCGGUGCAGUCAUGUUGCACCUUCUCUCAGCUGCAGUACAUGGGCUUUUCCAGGUGGAGUAAGAAAGUGCCACCUCUACUCGCAGCAACAGCUGCAGACUGCAACAAAUUGAGCCUCCCAGCAUCUGUGCACAGGAGGACAGAACCCUUCUGCUGUGGUGCAGUGACGAAGCCCCAGGAUCAUGCCCCAUCUUUAGAGGAGAAGCAGGGAGAGGAGAAAACAAAUCCUGCCUCAAGUACUGAAGCUUCUUUCCACAUCCUUGUGUCAGUGGUUUCACUACUUGUUAGCUUAGUGUAUUUUAACAUCUGGACAUUCAGAGAAUAUAAGAAAGAUGUACCAAUGAAGACACUGACCAACAUUUGGGCCAGGCAAAGGCAGAAUGAGGACUCUUGAGCCUUGGGUGAGCAGUUGAUUCCUGGUUUGUUGCUGAAAGACACAGCUGUCUGGUGCUUCCUACAGUAAAUCCAUCCUUUACCUCUCUUUUCUGCACGUCGAAGAGGUGAACAUGAAGUGGAAAAUCAGGUCCCAAGUCUGGCAAGAAUUCACUUGCUAACAAGAAGAAUGUGCUUCGUUAAAUCACAAGGAACAUAACUUGUAAAUAAUUGACCUGAGAGGAGUUGGUGAGAGAGAUGUAUAGCAUUACACUUAGAUCCUUCUGUGACAUUUUUUUUAAUUUGGAUCUUUGUGCUUCUGUUCUUUCUUUGUGAGCCGAAUAAACGUCAAUAUCAAGAGCUUUCCAAGCUCAAGACAAUGCAUUCUCCAUCUUACCUAAACAAAACAAUAGAAGACAAAAGGAGAAGGAAAGCAAAGUUAUUAAAACUGGAACCUAUAAAUCUUUAAACAACUCUGAUAGAAAGAAUAAGCCAACAACUUUGUCAUAAACCACUAGCAUAAGGUUUGGCAUUUACAAGCUACUGCUCUUGUUGCUAGCACUAUUGCAGUGUGGCUCCUUGUGUUUACAGUUCUGCCUAUCCUGAGGUUAAGUUUACUCAGACUGGGAGAUCUUUGGAAUGUAUCUCUGGGAAUUUUUAGCAUACUGCCAUCAUAACCCAUGGCUGAUGUGCUAUAAAAUUUGCUAUACGAGUAAUUUAUACAAUAUUGUUUAUGAAAAUAAAUAUUAAAUGAGCUUUUGGGAUAGAAAAAACAAAUGAGCUCUUGGGGUAAAAUUUUAGCAUUUGAAUGCAGAGACUACAGCAGCCACUUUGCUGGCACAAAAGAGUGACUGUGCUCACUGCUCCUAUCACAUUUAGUUUAAAUCAUGAGCAAAGUACUGAAGUGGGCCCACAAGUGGAAGGAAGAAGCACUAAAUGUUUGUCCUAUACAAUACUGUUGUUUUAAAAGUAUUAGUGAAUGCUAACUCUUAAUUUUAAAAAUAGUGCUGAUUCUUGACAAAGUGUUAUCCUUUGACUAAUAGGGAGAGAGCCUUGCAGGCUCAAUUCAUAUCCAGAUCUAAAGUAAGUACAUGGUGUCUGAAGUUAAGGACCUAAUAGGAUAAACUGAGCCCUUCAUCAUUUCAAGGUAACUGAAAUUUACUUCUUUAUGUGAUUCCUACUAGUAUCCGGAAAAGAAACCUUACUAAUUCUGCAGGAAAACAAGCAUUUCCACAACCCUUACUCCUUAAGUUUGUUGGGAAGCUUGAGCUGUUCAACAGGGCCCCUUUUCCAUCUAGAAAAAAAAAAAGCAGAGUAUUGGAGAUGCUCUUUGUUUGAGUUGUAGACUUCUCAUGUACACUGGGCAACAAAAUGCUCUUAAAUACUGUCUACCAUCUUCUGUGCAAAUAAUAGGCCUAUCUAAAACAGUCUAUUUGUUAAGCCAGAGGGAAACUGUAUGCAGAAAAGUUAGACUUUAGACAGCAUAUUGUAAUAUGCACUCUAUGCACAUCUAUGACGUUAUAUAAGAGAUAAGUGAAAUAAUGUGUAAACAGCUACUGUAUUGCGAGAUAAUUAAUUACUUAUUUGUCUUUUUAACCAAUUAAGCAAGUAUUUAUUAUAAUGAAUACUAGAAGCAAGGAAUAUACACAUUCAUGAAACACUACUGUUUUCUAAUUGAGUUAUAAUAAGAUACAAAUUACUGUGAUUCGUUUUUGCUAUAAGACUAAAUGUGAGUUGUCAAAAUAAAGUUUGCUUGCUUUAAGUGAUGUUUACAUUUAUGAGGUUUGUAUUUGAAAACUGGUAAGCGAAUGGUCCCUCUAUUUCCGUGUAUUUAUCAAGUUGCUAGAACCAACAAAUAGAUUCUCGGGUCUAUAUAAUACUAUAUAUCAGCACAAACAUAUGAUGAUAUAACACAUAUUUAAUAUUUCAUGUUAGAGUUAUUAUCACGAUGGUGAAAUAUGUAAAUUACUUUAGCAUACCUUAAAAGCUAAAGAGGUAAAAUUUGCAUUGAAAUCUCUAUGCAAAUGCCCUUAAUAAGUUCUGCUUGGACUUUGGUACCCUCAGAGAGUUUUACUGGAGAGGUUCUAACACAACUUUCUUCAACUCUAAUCAGGAUGGAGGGAAAAGUAAAAAUAUAAAUAGAGAGAGAGAGAGAGAGAGAGAGAGGUAAGCUGCAGGAAGAACUAUGAGAUAAAUGACUAGGUUACCUAUAAGCAGAAACUGCAACAGUGAUGCCCAAAGUAGCUUGUUUUAGGUUAUCCUUUGACACCUUCUAUCAUUUUUAAAGUCCAAGAGACAAUGUGUGCAUGCUGAAUGUUUUCUGCAGUCUCUGAGAGCUUUAUGCACUUCUUCUUUGCACUUCUGCUCCAGGUAUCGGACAGACCAAUCAGAGGUGAAGCAUUACUGGACCUAAUGCUCACCAGUGUGGAGGAGAUCAUGACAGAAGUUAAGAUCAGAGGCAGUUUGGGCUGCAGUGACCAUGCCCUAGCUGAGUUCAUGAUAUCAAGGAAAAUGGGCCUGACAAAGAGCAGAGGCAGGACCCUUAACUUCAGGAGAGCAAACUUCAGGUUGUUUAGAAAAUUGUUUGAUGAGAUCCACUCAGAAAUGAUCCUUAGGGACACAGGAACAGGACAGAGCUAGCAAUUCUUUAAGAAUACUUUUCUGAGACCAUAAGAGCUCUCCAUCCAAACAAUAAGAAAUCAAGCAGAGGAGGCAAGAAACUAGCA